rnacentral:rRNA from 1 species
GAUGAACGCUAGCGGCAGGCUUAAUACAUGCAAGUCGAACGGGAAUUGGGUAGCAAUACCUGAUGAUAGUGGCGCACGGGUGCGUAACGCGUAUGCAACCUACCUUUAACAGGGGGAUAGCCCGGAGAAAUUCGGAUUAAUACCCCAUAGUAUUAUGGAGAGGCAUCUUUUCAUGAUUAAAGUUCCGGCGGUUAAAGAUGGGCAUGCGUGCCAUUAGCUAGUUGGUGAGGUAACGGCUCACCAAGGCGACGAUGGUUAGGGGUCCUGAGAGGGUUAUCCCCCACACUGGUACUGAGACACGGACCAGACUCCUACGGGAGGCAGCAGUAAGGAAUAUUGGUCAAUGGGCGGAAGCCUGAACCAGCCAUGCCGCGUGCAGGAAGACGGCCUUAUGGGUUGUAAACUGCUUUUGUCAGGGAAUAAACCCUCGUUUGCGAACGAGGCUGAAGGUACCUGAAGAAUAAGCAUCGGCUAACUCCGUGCCAGCAGCCGCGGUAAAA